GAGAGGGAGCCUGAGAAACGGCUACCACAUCUAAGGAAGGCAGCUGGCGCGCAAAUUACCCAAUCCUGACACAGGGAGGUAGUGACAAGGAAUAACAAUACAGGACCUAACGGUCUUGUAAUUGGAAUGAGUUAAGUAUAAACCCCUUUAUAAGUAGCAAUUGGAGGGCAAGUCUGGUGUCAGCAGCCGCGGUAAUUCCAGCUCCAAUAGCGUAUAUUAAAGUUGUUGCAGUUAAAAAGC
rnacentral:rRNA from 1 species